rnacentral:rRNA from 1 species
AGAGUUUGAUCCUGGCUCAGGAUGAACGCUGGCGGCGUGCCUAAUACAUGCAAGUCGAACGAAUCUUCUUCGGAAGAUGAGUGGCGAACGGGUGAGUAAUACAUAGGUAACCUGCCCCUGUGCGGGGGAUAACAGGAGGAAACUCCUGCUAAUACCGCAUAGCCAUGAGCACCGCAUGGAGCUCAUGCCAAAUAUCCUUUACGGGAUAGCGCAGGGAUGGACCUAUGGCGCAUUAGCUAGUUGGCGGGGCAACGGCCCACCAAGGCAACGAUGCGUAGCCGGCCUGAGAGGGCGGACGGCCACAUUGGGACUGAGACACGGCCCAGACUCCUACGGGAGGCAGCAGUAGGGAAUUUUCGGCAAUGGGGGAAACCCUGACCGAGCAACGCCGCGUGAGCGAAGAAGGCCUUCGGGUCGUAAAGCUCUGUUGUAAAGGAAGAACGUCGGACACAGGAAAUGGUGUGCGAGUGACGGUACUUUACCAGAAAGCCACGGCUAACUACGUGCCAGCAGCCGCGGUAAUACGUAGGUGGCGAGCGUUAUCCGGAAUCAUUGGGCGUAAAGAGGGAGCAGGCGGCCGCAAGGGUCUGUGGUGAAAGACCGAAGCUAAACUUCGGUAAGCCAUGGAAACCGGGCGGCUAGAGUGCGGAAGAGGAUCGUGGAAUUCCAUGUGUAGCGGUGAAAUGCGUAGAUAUAUGGAGGAACACCAGUGGCGAAGGCGACGGUCUGGGCCGCAACUGACGCUCAUUCCCGAAAGCGUGGGGAGCAAAUAGGAUUAGAUACCCUAGUAGUCCACGCCGUAAACGAUGAGAACUAGGUGUUGGGGGAAUAACUCAGUGCCGCAGUUAACGCAAUAAGUUCUCCGCCUGGGGAGUAUGCACGCAAGUGUGAAACUCAAAGGAAUUGACGGGGGCCCGCACAAGCGGUGGAGUAUGUGGUUUAAUUCGAAGCAACGCGAAGAACCUUACCAGGGCUUGACAUCCUACUAACGAAGCAGAGAUGCAUUAGGUGCCCUUCGGGGAAAGUAGA